rnacentral:tRNA from 1 species
GUAGAUAUAGUUUAAAAAAAAAAACAUUAGAUUGUGAAUCUAACAAUAGAAGCUCAUCACCUUCUUAUUUACC